AACAAGGCGUACCUGCGGACCUGCGGAAGGAUCAUUACAGAGUUCGUGCCCUCGCGGGUAGAUCUCCCACCCUUGUGUAUUCCUUACAUUUUGUUGCUUUGGCAGGCCGUUGGUUCGCCAACCACCGGCUCUACGGGCUGGUGCGUGCCUGCCAGAGGACCCCCCAAACUCGGUUUGUUAGUGUCGUCUGAGUAACCAUAACAAUCGUUAAAACUUUCAACAAUGGAUCUCAGAUCGGAA
rnacentral:misc_RNA from 1 species